rnacentral:rRNA from 1 species
GACGAACGCUGGCGGCGUGCCUAAUACAUGCAAGUCGAGCGAGCUUGCCUAGAUGAUUUUAGUGCUUGCACUAAAUGAAACUAGAUACAAGCGAGCGGCGGACGGGUGAGUAACACGUGGGUAACCUGCCCAAGAGACUGGGAUAACACCUGGAAACAGAUGCUAAUACCGGAUAACAACACUAGACGCAUGUCUAGAGUUUGAAAGAUGGUUCUGCUAUCACUCUUGGAUGGACCUGCGGUGCAUUAGCUAGUUGGUAAGGUAACGGCUUACCAAGGCAAUGAUGCAUAGCCGAGUUGAGAGACUGAUCGGCCACAUUGGGACUGAGACACGGCCCAA